rnacentral:rRNA from 1 species
GCGACAUAAACAAUCCUUCGGGUGCGCUUAUGGGCGGCGAGCGGCGGACGGGUGAGUAAUGCCUGGGAAUAUGCCCUGAUGUGGGGGAUAACCAUUGGAAACGAUGGCUAAUACCGCAUAAUCUCUUCGGAGCAAAGAGGGGGACCUUCGGGCCUCUCGCGUCAGGAUUAGCCCAGGUGAGAUUAGCUAGUUGGUGAGGUAAGAGCUCACCAAGGCGACGAUCUCUAGCUGGUCUGAGAGGAUGAUCAGCCACACUGGAACUGAGACACGGUCCAGACUCCUACGGGAGGCAGCAGUGGGGAAUAUUGCACAAUGGGGGAAACCCUGAUGCAGCCAUGCCGCGUGUGUGAAGAAGGCCUUCGGGUUGUAAAGCACUUUCAGUUGUGAGGAAGGCAUAUACGUUAAUAGCGUAUGUGUUUGACGUUAGCAACAGAAGAAGCAC